CAUAACAUCAGUCAUGAUCUUUGACCUGAGGGCCAUACCCCGUGUCAGCUGAAACUAAUUAGCCUUUGAUCGCUGGUGACUGCACACAACGCAAGUCACACAUCGGAGAGGUGGUUUUUUAACAUGGGAACUGGCUGCUACACUGGCGUAACUGCACAAAAUACCAUGAUGUGGAGAUAAGACAUAUUUUUAACUCUGUUCCUGGUGUCAGGCCUGACCACACAACUGUGAUGACAGAGAGAAAACAGCCCUGAUAUGUGAUCCUGGACUGUCACGACGGGUCAGUACCACAGCUCUUUCAACUGCCGAUGAUACGCUAAGUCCUACAACACGGGCCAACAAAGAGGAAAAUACAUCUAUGAUCUGUGAUGCAUCGCGGCGUAUGACUGCAUGUUCCGUUAAACCGUCCGAAGAGAUGCCGUCCUGUGUCACGCAAACGCAAAGCUCAGGUAUGUUCAUUCUGUAAAACGGACGAAAUUAAGUGACCUAAGAGUAACCAGCACGUGUA